AACCGGUACUGCAAUUCCCUCGAGCUUAUUCUCAACGUACACUGAUCUAGCUGUGCUAAAAUACUCCAUACUACAUCCACAGACUAUUCAACAACUACACACUCAUUAUUCCACAGCUAUUCUAUCCAUUUCAACACAUAUAACACGGAUGAACAGAACAUGCAGUGUACAAUAUUAUAUAUGAUACAAAGGUAUCCUCACUCUCACAUGUAAAGAAUAUAUUCAAUAUUUCUAUGUUAUUCUUGCUAGUGUAGCACGUGUGAGUGAUCUCAGUUGACUCUUGCGCCCACGCGGUAUAAUAAAACUCCAACACAUCCUAACCUAUAAUGUAACACAUACACUGAAAAUUGCACAUCGUCAGCCUAGGAAAAUCCCAACCGGUUAGUUCUGGUUUCAAAUAAACGAACUUUGUCAUUCAGCCAUGCUCAAUACAUGUUAAAUGAUUGCCGUUAAAAGUCACAAUUUAUUACUUCUCUAACAUAAUAGAAAGAUGACUCAGACACGCUUGGAUUAAUUUAACAAAAUAAGAGGAUUAAAAGAAGUUUUCAUGAUAAAAUUAUGCAGUCGGGGAAAGCAUCGCUGAAAUUUCCCAGGUCGUUGAAUGCCAGACGAGGCGUUUCCUUUGACGAAAUCAAACAACUACCAGUUGUUAAUUUAUAUAAAAGUGUUUAGACUUUAUUAUUAAUUCAGCUGACGCCGAGUUCUUUUUUAUGUCUUUGUUAGAGUAUUUUUAAUUUCAUAAAAGGUUACUCAAUAAUUUGCCUUUUAGUGAUGAGUAUUACCCUGAUUAUCCCUGAUUCCGAAAAAUAAUUUGAAAUGAUUACCUUUAUGUUAAUUGUAUAUCUAUAUAGUAUUCAAAUCAGAUGCUUUUAAAUUAUUUCAAAUCAUUUCAAAUUAGAUUUCUUAAUCAGGGAUGACUUGAGUUAGCGUAAUUUUUAAAUUUCUAUUACUAUAGUGACAUUAUAUACAUCUAAAACUAUCAGAUACUUUACUCCAAAUGACUGUUAAUUUAAAGAAAGUUUAAAAUAUUACUACGAGCUUUAGUUUGUACAUUUCAUUAAGAAUUGCUCGUCACAACGAAAGUAUGGUGUGUGAUUUAAGGUUAUCAUGAAAAAAAAACUAUUUUAUUUCUUCGGGCUUCAAUUGAAUUCUAUAAUAUUAUGAUAUUUUUUUGAGAGCUCAAUGAAUCAUUUUAAUUUUUUUAUUGUAAUGUCAAUUAUUAAAUUAUUUUAAAUCAUUUACAAUUAAAACAAUAAAGUUUGAACCGGAUCAGCUGUGAAGCCGCAGCCAUAUUGGUUCCAUUUUAUUUCUAUAUGCUGUAAAGCGCUAGUAGCGCCACUUCAUCAAAAUUACAGUAUUAUUGUUUACUUAUUUUCUACAGAUUUUUUCCGUGCUUUUGUAAACUGAAAGUUAUUAUUGUAAGAUUUGUAUUUCAAUAUAACCAUUGAGACGUUAUUGAAUUUU